rnacentral:lncRNA from 1 species
AGGAGCAGAGGAAAAGGAGGAGGAGGUGGGGGAGGAGUGGAGAGCAGAGGAGCAGGAACAGAGUUGGAGGAGGUGGAAGAGAGAAGAGGAGGAGAGGAAGAGAGAAGGAAAUGAGAAGGAAAAAGGAGGAGGAAGAAGAGAGAAGAGAGAGGAGAGGAUGAGGAGGAGGGGGAGGAGGAGAGGAGGAGGAGGAGAGGAAGAGGAGGAAAUGAGGAAGAAAGAAGGACAGGAGGUGGAGAGGAGGAAGAGAGAAUGAGGAGGGGAGGAAGAGGGGAGGAGAGGAAGAAAAGGAAAUGAGGAGGCGGAGGCUGCAGCGCCCUUAUCAGGCUCCAGUUCUCGGUGUGCCCCGUUCUGUAAGACACUCUCCUGUGGUCAACCCUGGCCUGCAGAGGAUUCCCGCGCUGGAUCUCUGAGGGACGCUGGCGCCCUCUCUCCAGCACGUUCCUGAUGCCCUUGCUGACGCAUGUGUCCUCUGGGCCCUCUCCUGAAACGUCAUCCUCCAGGGUGUCUUCUGGCCUCACCUCUUCUGUCCAGUUCCAGCAAGCUCACUUUGCUUAGCCUUUGAAUCCCUUCCUUCACCAUCUGCCGUGACAAUUCGGGCCUUUCACCGUCACUCAGGCCUGGACCAUCACGGAUGCCCAUCCCAUGCCAUCCACAGACCCAGCACACCCUGCCUGCGCAGCUCUGUGCUGCACCUUCACUCUAGUCACGGGUGUAGCGGUCAGCUCACCAAUUCCUCCUGCUUCCCUGGGACUCGCCGGCUUUUAGCACUGCAAGUCCCUCAGCAAACUGGGACUGUUGAUCACCCUCCCUGGCAGCCAGUGAUAAGGACUUGUGUCAUUGGCAUGACAGACCUGCCUUGGCUGAGCGUUCAACUGUCUUUGGAGUUCAGCCACCUUAGCAAGUCCUGGGUUUGUUCUUCAGACUUUGCUGCUUGCCCAUUGCCUGGGUCGGGAGCUACUUUGUAAACUACCAGGAAGACUCCAGUGUUUCUGCUUAAUUUUUAGAUGUUUGUUAAUUGCCCUUGGCCUCUCAUUAAUCCCCGUGGGUCACUCAGGAAACAUACCACUGUCCAUUCCCUGAGUUUUCAUUUCCAGGCAUCUGCCCUGCCUGGAUCUCGUCGCCUUCCAGGAACUUCCUCUUCACAAGCCGGCCAUCCCGGCAAAAGUUCUAACAUCAAAGGUCUAGCAACGAGCCUGCCAUCUUGUCCCUAGAGCCACCUGAGUGCCCCAUGUCCCCGAAGAUGGGAACCUCGUUGCCAGUUGGGCAGAUGCAGGACAAUCCUGUACCAAGACCCCAUCUUACCACCUGUUUUCUCGGACCACUCUGGAACCCACUGUCUCAGAUUGGGUCCUCCAGGAAGCAGACUGUGAGAGGGAGUUGGCAGGACCAAAGGUUUACCGGGGCUAACUAACCCUCAGGAAAGGGACAGGAAGGAAGCAGGGCUGGAGAGCAGGUUGAGCCCGACCUGACAGUCUUGAGCAGCCCAGCAGGGAGGUGUGGAGCAAGGGUUGCCCACUAGAGGGGCCUGCAUUGGGCAUGGGUGGUGGGGUCCACAUGGUACCUGGCACACAGCAGGCUGUGCAAUCCAUAUUAACUGCCUGGAUGAAUUAAUGCCCAGGAAAGGUGCCCUGGAGAACGGGUAUGUGCUGAGCACAAUAGGGAAGGGCCCAGCAUCUGCCUUGGCAUAGGCAGAACUGUGCUGUGCCCUGCAACAGGCCACCCGAGAGCUGCUUUCAUCUCGUGUGUGCAUUAGACAACUGCCAGGGGCAUGAAGGGGAUGUGCCUCCAGGGCAUUUGCUGGUAGGGCGUCUCGUGAUCUCUUGGUAUUGGUGUGAGCACAGCCUGGCAGGAGAGGGCGGAUCUCAGUGCAAAGUAUCAUGUCAAAAAGCAGAUUGAAGCCAGGCCCCCUCCUGGAAGAGGCUCCUUGAAGGUAGGUGCACACUCAUGUCUUUGUUACUUGUAAGG